CCCCAUGCCUCACUUCCCUGAUCUAUAGGCUGCCCCCCCAUGCCUCACUUCCCUGAUCUAUAGGCUGCCCCCCCAUGCCUCACUUCCCUGAUCUAUAGGCUGCCCCGCCCAUGCCUCACUUCCCUGAUCUAUAGGCUGCCCCCCCAUGCCUCACUUCCAUGAUCUAUAGGCUGCCCCCCCAUGCCUCACUUCCCUGAUCUAUAGGCUGCCCCCCCAUGCCUCACUUCCCUGAUCUAUAG